GAAAAAUUACGUCCCAGUGCGCAAGCGCCGAGGCCAUCUCGUCACUUGGAGAAGGAUAAGAAGCUGCCCCCCAUCCAGAGGGACACACCUGCCACCAAAUCCGUCGCUCACUGGAUUCAGUAAUCUCCGUCUGCUGUCAUGUUCUCCUAUGGAACACGAAGUACCUGAAGUGGAAUGAAGAAGCCCAUGUUUGAGGCCUGCGCCCUGGCUGGAGCAUUGAAGGGGCAUCUGACACGUGACAAGCUGCUCCAGCAUUGUGUACGGUGAUCACCGCGAGGUCAGAGGUCGGCAACCAUAGGCCGUCCACAUGCUGUGAAUUACAUCUCCCAUCAUGCUGGUAAAGUAUUAUGGGAGGUGUAGUCCAAAACAUCUGGAAUACCAAAUGCGUAUGAAUGAAAAGCAUGGUGUGUGACUGGUCAGUAACAAGGGUUGAAGCCUUGACGUGGCGUUACUGCUCACAUGUGUAUCCAUGUGCCAAUUCAACCAAUGUGAGUGACUGUAAUUAAUACUGAUUAGGUAACUAUAAAUACUGUGACAAUGGAGAAUUAAACGACCGUAUCUCCUACACACUGCUUACACCGUGACCGUAUCUCCUACACACUGCUUACACCGUGACCGUAUCUCCUACACACUGCUUACACCGUGACCGUAUCUCCUACACACUGC